CUACGACCAUAUCACGUUGAAAACACCGGUUCUCGUCCGAUCACCGGAGUUAAGCAACGUCGAGCCAGUUAGUACUUGGAUGGGUGACCGCCUGGGAAUACCGGGUGUUGUAG
rnacentral:rRNA from 1 species